CUGUCGGAGAGUUUGAUCCUGNNNNNNNNNNNNCGAACGCUGGCGGUACGCUUAACACAUGCAAGUCGCACGGUAACGGGUCUUUCGGGAUGCCGACGAGUGGCGAACGGGUGAGUAACGCGUGGAUACCUGCCCCGAGGUGUGGGACAACAGCUGGAAACGGCUGCUAAUACCGCAUAAGCCUUACGAGGGAAAGGCGCAAGUCGCCUUGGGAGGGGUCCGCGUCGGAUUAGCUUGUUGGUGGGGUAAAGGCCUACCAAGGCGAUGAUCCGUAGCUGGUCUGAGA
rnacentral:rRNA from 1 species